rnacentral:rRNA from 1 species
CUUCCAUCUGGAAGAAUCUGGAGACAGGUGCUGCAUGGCUGUCGUCAGCUCGUGUCGUGAGAUGUUGGGUUAAGUCCCGCAACGAGCGCAACCCUUGCCUUUAGUUGCCAGCAGUCGGCUGGGCACUCUAAAGGGACUGCCGGUGUUAAACCGGAGGAAGGUGGGGAUGACGUCAAGUCCUCAUGGCCUUUAUGACCAGGGCUACACACGUACUACAAUGGCCGAUACAAAGGGCAGCGACACUGCGAGGUGAAGCCAAUCCCGUAAAAUCGGUCUCAGUCCGGAUUGGAGUCUGCAACUCGACUCCAUGAAGUUGGAAUCGCUAGUAAUCGUGGAUCAGCAUGCCACGGUGAAUACGUUCCCGGGCCUU